rnacentral:lncRNA from 1 species
GCUAUUUUUGUUGGCUUUUUCCUCAUGACUUGCCACUGAUAGUUAUUCAGUGACAUCUCCUCUAUAAACUCAUAAGCAUCUUCAAGUGUUUUAUUAUUGAUAGUUCCGCUAGCAGCUGCGUCAACCAUUUGUCGAGUCGAAGGAUUCAGGCCAUUAUGGAAUGUUUGAACCUGUAACCAAUGAGGUAACGCAUGGUGAGGUCACCUUUUCAAAAGGUCCUUGUAUCUCUCCC